rnacentral:lncRNA from 1 species
AGAGAGGGAGAAGUGACGAUGGUGAUCGUUGCUGCCGCGGCCGAUAUGGAACCCAAGCAGUGGCGAAGGGAAUCGCAAGGCUCUUCCCUGACCAUUUUCUACUGUCCCUGCGCGAGGCUGAGUUAUGAACUUCGGUUUGGUUUCUUUCUGCAAUCCCUGCAGGGCCAUAAAUUCUUGGCCCUUAAGACUGGGUGGCCCAUAACAGACUCAGUGAUACCAUCAGUAACCACAAUUCACACUGGAGUCAAGUUAUCUGAUUCCCACACCAGUUGGAGAACUGGAGAUUCCUUAGAACUUUUAACUGUCAUGUUUUCAAAGUUGACAUGGAAAAUUUUACAUGAAGCUUAAAAAUACAACUAAUCUGUGGUGAUAGAGACGAGAAGAGUUAAGCUCUAAAAUUAGAAGAGCAGUUCGUUUUGAGGCAGCACUGAUUGGGAGGGAGCAUGGAGUAUAUAAUUACACAUUUCUAUGUAAUGUAAAAAUGUAUAGAUUUAAGAUUUAUGCAUUUUAUGUAAAUUUUACUACAAUAAAACGAAAAUGAAAGAAGACAGAUCAUAGUUUAAUCAAAUAUUGUGUACAAAGUAAUUUCUGUUAAACAUUUAUAUUUUUAUGUGUAUAUGUAUCUUUUACAUGUAUGUGUUAAGGAUAUGCAUUAAAAUGGUAAUAACUUCCUCUGCCUGUUGGGAUAAUGGAGAGUUUUGUUACUUUUUGUCUUUUUUUAAAACAUGUUCUUCAAUAAUAAUGUAUUGCUUUUGUAAUUAUGAAAAACAAAAGUUAUUUUGUAAAUCUUUGUUACUGAUAAGAGAUGGGUAUUCUGUUAACUACUCAAUUCUCAUGUAGGAAAACAAAAUAAAUAAUGUCUAUUUGAUAAAUCGAGAAACAGAAGCAUUACUUAGAAAUCUGAGUUACCUCUAAAAUAAUGACUGGCAUUUGAAGUUGAGGAUGGGUCUUGAGUUCCUGUGAUUUUAAGCUCUUGGAUAUGAGGGUUGGGUGAGUUCCUCUUUUUCUCUUUUAAAAUAUAUGUAUGUUUAACUUUGCUAAAUAAAAUUUAAAAGAUGCAAUG